UUUGAUUAUAUGUAUAUGUAUAUGCAUAUACAUUCAAUAAAAUGUAAAAUAAUUCAAAAUUUUGGAUUUACAGGCAUUUUCAUUGGUUGCCUGAAUGUGAAAUUAUUAAAAAUUUGAUCAUUUAUUAAAUUGCACGUCCGAAAUGAUUCUGACGUGCAAAUCGAUCGUCUCAAUUUGGUAUAGGGACCAAAGACUAAUCGAGCGAUCCAAUAAUUGGUUCCUUCUGAAGUUUUCAUCAGGAGAGCUGGAGUACGUAAUGAAGCUGUUAUAUUCGGAAAAGCGAAUGAUUAGAGGAAUUGUGGGACGAAACGUCUUCAACCUCUUUUCAAACUUUCAAUG
rnacentral:ncRNA from 1 species